CCAAUCCUCUGUUUCUUUAUGUACAUGUGUAUUAUAUCCAAAAGAGUGAAAGUAGGUAUAAAAUCAUUACCCUAACUUUGAGCACCCAUAUCUCUUUCAUAUAAACUCCAAAUCAAACAAAAUUUGUACCAAAACCGUAAUCAAAAACUUAAACUUGCUGAUCCAAGCCUCCAAAGCUCGAAUUCUUCCAAAAUACUAACCCUAAUCUAUAAUAUAGCCUCGGGAAGCCUCCUCAAAGCCAUUAGUCAUGAUUUUUGACCAAUAGGAAUAGAAUUUUUCAUCAUCUAUCUCCAUUCA
rnacentral:lncRNA from 1 species